UACAGGUGGGUCUCUCCCUCUGCAAAGUGAGCAUGAGCAGGUCGUUUUCUAUCAUACUCCUUUAAUGGCAGUUGAUAUGCAUUUACUGCAUGCCCUCUCUCUCUCUCUCUCUCUCUUAUUCUCUCUCCCUAGAUUCCGCUGAUCUUCAUCAAUUGGAUUUUCCUACUCUUUUGAAUGUCAUUUCAAUUCAUUAUUAGGUGUCGUUUCAUCGUUCUAUCUCUUUAAAACAGUGCUAAUUCCAUUGCCCCUUACAUUUAUUUGAACAGGUAUUCAUAAUUAUGCCUUUUCGCAUUCAAUUUCGUUGUUGUUUUUCAAGAUAAUGUUAAAGUGAAUUUAUUUGCUUCUGUAAUUCAAAGAAGUGAGUGUUCCGUGUGUUUGUUUAGUACAAAGGGUAGAUUGAAGCACAGUGGUUCCACUAAUUGGAACUCUUAAUUCCCCAACGAAUGCAUGUGCAUUUCUAUUCAGAAAUGAUUUUUAAAUUAAUUUUUUUUGUGUAUUUGAAAUUAUAAUUUCUGAUGUAUAUUGAUAAAUUAAUGAUUUAUGAAAUGGAGUAUGGAGAUAUCUAUUCAGAAAUGAUUUUUGUAUGAAGAAUUUAUUGGCAAUACAUCUGUGUGUGAGAGAAUGUGUGUAUGUUAAGUUGAUCAAAUUGAACUUCGAUAUGUUGAAUUUGAAAUUCCCUGAAAUUAACGUCAAAUUUCAUAAGUUUUCCUGUAUUCUCAACUCUUAACUCAUAAGAGAAAUCACAUUUUAGAAUUUUAUAUGUUGAUUCAUUUGAAAGCUUAUUUUGUACGGCUUUAUGAUUACCCCUCAAAAUUUUCCUUUUCAGGGAUUUUAUCUGGAGCUUGGACUUUCUCCAUGCGGUAAUAUUGUGGCAAUAUCUGGGUAUCAGUCCNNNNNN
rnacentral:lncRNA from 1 species